AUGGUUUCCCACCUAUGGUGUGCCCCUCCUCGAGCCGCCACAGAGAGUAGCGAAGAAAAUCAAGAAAACAUGGCCGAUCGAUUCGGCCCUGGUCAUGGUGGUGGUGGAAGAGAGGAAGGAGGGGGGAACAACUGGAGGCCGAAGCAAGGAUUUGGAAGAGAUCCAGCAUAUGAUCGUUUCGAUCAGGGCUUCUCACCUUUCAGGAAUUUCCCAGGUAACCAGCACAACCAAUCUUAUGGUAGGAGGGAGGGUUUUGGAGAUUAUAAUCAGAAUGGAGGGAAUUGGGAUGCGCGUCCUCCGCCCCGCAGGCCUUUUGUUCAAAAUAAUUUGACCCCAGUGGCCAGCACUUACCAGCAGAAGGUGAACACAGCCAGUGGGGGAGGGGGUAGUGACGCUCAAGUUUCCAAAGCAAACUCAGCAGGUGCUGUGCUGACAGGGAAUCAGGGGUCUGUGGUUGUUUCUGAAAGAAAAACGCCAUCGAAUGACAAAAUCGUGUGUCACAAGUGUGGAAAGAAGGGACAUAAUUCCAAGGGCUGCGAAGCAAAAGUUAUGUGCGUGAUUUGCUCUAAGGAUACACACAUAUCUGAUUUCUGUGCCUGGCUACAUCAGAAAAAACCAGUUGCCACUUUGGUUGGUUUCGGAGGGGAAGGGCUUGGUAUUUUUGUGGCUGAACAUGCUAAAGAGAUGACAGGCAAUGGCAAAAAUGACGCAGUGGCUCUGGUGAGAUUAAGAGAAGGUUGUGCUCUGGAAAUUAAAGAUGACAACUUGAUCAAAUGCUUGGCGAAAACUUAUCCAUGGAGAUGGGACUGGAAAGCUAAAAAGGUUUCUGAUGGGGUGUUCUUGGUCAACUUUCCAUCAAUGGCAAGAAUCAAUGAAGCUGCUGUGUACGACUGGGUUCCUCUGAAGGGUGGAAACAUCACCGUGAAUGUCAGGGUUUGGAAUGAUGAUGCAAUGGCAGUGGGCAAAUUACCAGUGGUCUGGGUCAAAGCGAAAGGGGUUCCAAAAACUAUGAAGAACUACCAUGGGCUGUGUGAAAUUGGCUCAACUAUUGGUUAUCUCCAAACGGUUGAUAUGGAGCUGAUGAGCAAAACUGGACACGUUCGUCUCAGAGUUGUAGUGGUUGAUCACACCAAGAUUCCCAGAUGGACCAAGUUGACAACCCCUGAUUUAAUGGUGUUCAGAAUUUUCUUUGAGGUCGAAGGAGUGGUGGAAAAUGGUUGGGCUAAAGAGGAGGAUGAGAUGUCACAAGGAUAUGAGCAAUGGAUGGACUUUCAGCAAGAAGAAGAGGAAAGCAGGGAGGCUAAAAAGGCAAAGAUUAAUGAAGGGGUAUCCCAGAACCAGCUAUGUGCUAGCACAAGAACCAAGAUUGCUAUAGAAGAAAGAGACACUGCUUUGAAAGAAUAG
rnacentral:rRNA from 1 species